GGGUCCUUAAAGGUCACAGAAGCACAGCACGCUGCCUUGGCUGGGAGCCCUGCGCUGCACAUCAGGAGUGGCACAAUGAGCUCAAGGAGAGGAGGGCACGGGGCAGCACCACGGCUCUGCACGGGGACGUGGGGUCCCCUCGGACACCUCCAGCCCCACUGUCUCUACCACAGCAAAACAACGACAGCAACUGGGCUGAAGACGCAGAGGAGCUCAGAGGCCAUUAACAUCCAAAUGCCAAAAAAAGGGCAAGAAAGGAAAAACAAAAAACAGAGGAGGAAACAGAUGUCGCACGUGCUGAAGUGCCACACUGCAGCCAAGCAGAGAUGACUGAGAUGGAGCAGAGCCUCCUCAGCACGCAGAGAUGGGGCACAGCCCCCCCGGUAACCCCACACUGCCUGCCUUGAGGCAAAUCCCCUGCAAAAUCAGGGCAGGGAUUAACUGGAACUGCUGUUUGUUCAAACAGAAGUUUGGGUAUAGAGCCGAGUUCAG
rnacentral:lncRNA from 1 species